CUUACGGGGAAAGAUUUAUCGCCGAAAGAUCGGCCCGCGUCUGAUUAGCUAGUUGGUGGGGUAAUGGCCUACCAAGGCGACGAUCAGUAGCUGGUCUGAGAGGAUGAUCAGCCACAUUGGGACUGAGACACGGCCCAAACUCCUACGGGAGGCAGCAGUGGGGAAUAUUGGACAAUGGGGGCAACCCUGAUCCAGCCAUGCCGCGUGAGUGAUGAAGGCCCUAGGGUUGUAAAGCUCUUUUGUGCGGGAAGAUAAUGACGGUACCGCAAGAAUAAGCCCCGGCUAACUUCGUGCCAGCAGCCGCGGUAAUACGAAGGGGGCUAGCGUUGCUCGGAAUCACUGGGCGUAAAGGGUGCGUAGGCGGGUCUUUAAGUCAGGGGUGAAAUCCUGGAGCUCAACUCCAGAACUGCCUUUGAUACUGAAGAUCUUGAGUCCGGAAGAGGUGAGUGGAACUGCGAGUGUAGAGGUGAAAUUCGUAAAUAUUCGCAAGAACACCAGUGGCGAAGGCGGCUCACUGGUCCGGUACUG
rnacentral:rRNA from 1 species